GACUUCUCCACUGUCUCAACCACGAACUCGGCGAAAUUGCACUACGAGUAAAGAUGCUCGUUACGCGCAGCAGGACGGAAAGACCCCGGGACCUUUACUACAGCUUGGUAUUGGUGUUCGGUACGGCUUGUGUAGGAUAGGUGGGAGACUGUGAAGCAUGCACGCCAGUGUGUGUGGAGUCAACGUUGAAAUACCACUCUGGUCGUUCUGGAUAUCUAACCUCGGUCCGUGAUCCGGAUCAGGGACAGUGCCUGGUGGGUAGUUUAACUGGGGCGGUUGCCUCCUAAAAGGUAACGGAGGCGCCCAAAGGUUCCCUCAGCCUGGUUGGCAAUCAGGUUUUGAGUGUAAGUGCACAAGGGAGCUUGACUGUGAGACAGGCAUGUCGAGCAGGGACGAAAGUCGGGACUAGUGAUCCGGCGGUGGCUUG
rnacentral:rRNA from 1 species